UUCAGAAUUAACUGUAGCGUAGC
rnacentral:piRNA from 1 species